GAUGAACGCUAGCGGCAGGCCUAAUACAUGCAAGUCGAACGAUAGAAGAGGGCUUGCUCUCUUCGAAGGUGGCGCACGGGUGCGUAACGCGUAUGCAACCUACCUUAAUCAGGGGGAUAGCCCGAAGAAAUUCGGAUUAACACCGCAUAAAAUCACAGUACAGCAUUGUACAAUGAUCUAAUAUUUAUAGGAUUAAGAUGGGCAUGCGUGACAUUAGCUAGUUGGCGGGGUAACGGCCCACCAAGGCGACGAUGUCUAGGGGAUCCGAGAGGAUGACCCCCCACACUGGUACUGAGACACGGACCAGACUCCUACGGGAGGCAGCAGUAAGGAAUAUUGGUCAAUGGAGGCAACUCUGAACCAGCCAUGCCGCGUGCAGGAAGACGGCCCUCUGGGUUGUAAACUGCUUUUAUUCGGGAAUAAACCUCAUUAUGUAUAGUGAGCUGAAUGUACCGAAGGAAUAAGGAUCGGCUAACUCCGUGCCAGCCGCCGCAGUAA
rnacentral:rRNA from 1 species